rnacentral:rRNA from 1 species
CACGCCGUAAACGAUGAAUACUAGGUGUAGGGGGUAUCGACUCCCCCUGUGCCGCAGCUAACGCAUUAAGUAUUCCACCUGAGUAGUACGGUCGCAAGACUGAAACUCAAAGGAAUUGACGGGGACCCGCACAAGCAGUGGAGUAUGUGGUUUAAUUCGAGGCAACGCGAAGAACCUUACCAAGGCUUGACAUCCCGCGACAAACGUGGAAACACGUCUUCCCCUUCGGGGGCGCGGAGACAGGUGG